rnacentral:lncRNA from 1 species
AGAAAGGGGAGUUUCUCUUACCCAUCCAUGUGUGCGUGUGUGUGGGUGUGUCGGCCAUGGUGGUCGGCUGAUGGAGGAGAAGAAGCUAAUUAGCUUCUUUAAUUAAUUACACCCCGACACUAUUCACUCCAGGCAACUUAAAAUCUGAUAUCUUUCGCCGCAGCUCCCAGAGUAUCCGUUUGAGCUCAAAUUUGACAGUCAUAUUCGGCUUAACGUACUGAAAAAGAAUAUACUUUAUGUUUUUAGUUUCGACCCCGUUUGGUCAUCGAAAACUGUACCGAACUAUAAUCUUUAUCAGAUAGCUUUCGGAUUUUAUUUCUCAACUUUCGGGUAUCAGAAAAAUAUGAAACUUUAAAUCUAGCCUCAUAAAAAUAUUUCUGACUUAUCCUCCAAUUUUCAUAAUUUUCUGAGACAGUGCAUUUUUUGCUAAUUUAUCUGUCUCGUUUCCAACAGAAAAUUCUAAAUCUUUUGUUUUCAUUGCGAUUUCAGCAUAAAUCAUUUCUGACUUAUAUUUUACCUCUCUAAAUCCAAUAAAAAUAGUAUCCCACACUAUUUUUAUUUAUUUUUAUUUUUUUUACCAAAAUCUGGUAUAUUACAUUCUCCACCCCUUAAAAAGAAUUUCGUCCGCGAAAUUGAAACUAUGCCUCAGUUCAGCUCCGCGAGCAAUUGAGGGUACCAACUCACUUUUCCACUCCAAAGCGGCUUCACAGUAUCGUGAUUCCAGAAGCGGCUCAUACUGAAGGACUUGGGUUUAAUCCUAGACACAUUUGCAAAGUGUGGUGCAGUAGUGCAUCACGGUUCUUGCAAGUCAUAGUGGCAGCGCAAGUCGGUACUCAACGAUUCUACGCGCUCCAACACCACUCGCCAUUUGGUACACAAAGAACUCUUCUUUGCACUGGCCUUCCCUUGAGGGAAUACCUCCCAAUUCGAUCACCGACAUUGCUUAGAAGCAAUAUCACCAAUGCAUCGCUCCGUCGUGAGUGCUCUAACUUCGCACAGACCCUUAACUUUAUCGUGAGGUGGCCCACCUCGGCGCAUCCCAAUUCCAAUCCUCAAAUUCCACGUGGCUUGCUACUAGCUCAAGGUCUCACAAAGAGCACUUCAUCUUCUGAUACCAUAUGCCACGGUCAACAUUGAACUAAUUUCGCAACGAGCUCACACGAACGCUUCGUUCAUGGAUUCGGGUCAGAUUCCUCGAUAAAGCUAUCCGCCAAACCGCUCUCUUCGGUCUCCACAGGUGGACCAAAGGCCACCAAUCCUACGUAGGCCUACCGCCUAACCUUUCUCAAUAUGCAGCGUCUCUCGCUCGCAAUGCAGACCCAAUCAUCAUUGGGGCGAAAUUCUCACUUGGGAAUUUGCACACACUCCAACCAGGAGCAACUAAGAUCCCAAACCGUUACAGAUUUCCUGGUUGGGUCACACUCGCACUCUCAGUAUACUAUCAAUCGCACUACACGCUCUAUAGCACAAUACGUACCACUAUCGGCUCCUAUGCACCUAGUGCGAGCCACCAGCCCCACGAGUGAUCCGUGGCACGCUUCACACCUAGCAAUGCUCAGGUGCUACUGCCAACACACUCAUCCGGCUGAACUAAAUCCGCGCUCCACGAGUAACUAUACUCGUGUAUCGCACGCUUCUAAAGCGCUCCACACUAUGUCCAGCAUUAGGCAACUCUUGCCUAUGCACACCGGCCACACGAGCAUGGCUCACCUACCUCCAUUCGAGGUACUACUAGGCAAAAGCGCCAGUAGUUGGCAACAAACCGUUCCAUCGGAGCAACAUCCGGAAUACUCGAACCAUUCGAGUGUCCACAAGUGUCACGUCACAACUCUCGCAAUCAGCUAUACAUUGCUCUGCGAGUUAGUCCGUCACUCCCUGUAAUACACUGGACUUUCGCAAAUUGCAGAGUUCAAGUGGGUGGAAUGAAGUGUGGAAUUAUUCUACAUGUUCUAAUUGACUUGGACAAGUUUUUGAACAAGUUAGAGGAUGAUUGGAAUGCUAAAAGUGAGAAAGUGCAUUGAACUGGCGAAAAUCAGCCUUUUCUGCUUGCUGUACCGGCACAGACAUUACCUUGUACCGGUACAAGCUGGCAGAUUCGUGGCAGCAAGGUUAGUUUUGUAAUUUCACACUUGAUCCCUAUCUAUAUGACCCCUGCACGACCCCAGGAGCUCAGUGGGGUAUGCUGGAGCUCAGAGAAAGGUUCUCCCACCUUCCUCACUCUCUCUCUCUAGGGUUUUUCUCUCUCUACAAAGAAUUCGCCGAUUUCGCUCGUUUUCGUCCCAACGUUGGUUCUUCGCUGUUCGCAUGUGUCGCAGGGCCUACGUGGACGUGUGAGGGAGUAUUUUGGAGAGUUUUUCGCAGCUCUGAACCAGUGAGGUGCUGGUUGGAGGCUUGAGAAGGUAUGUGACUCGAGUUUUCCGUUAUCGACAUUCUAUUAGUCGAUUUGAGUAUUGCUUUUGAGUUUCUGCUUCUAGCUGUAUUCUUCUGAGAUUUCAGCAACUAAAGUUGGAUUAAUUAGCUGUGAAUUAAGCUCCUUAGACUAGGGAUAAGCUUCUUUGAAGGUUAAUUGAGAGGAUUAGCCAUUUAUGAAGCUAAAUCGGAACUAAAUGCAAUUAUUGAAGCGACUUGAUGUAAUUGGGGAUUACUUCUUCGCAGCAGGUCUUCGAGCUUUGUGGAGCUGAACUUGUAUUCUUUGAAGUUGGUUUAGAAGGUACUCUAACCUAAGGUAAGUAAGAAUUUCAGUUAGGAAGCUGAAAUUGCAAGAUUCCGACCACAAUUGCUAUUAUAUGAUGAGUUUGAUGCCGUGAAAUGAAAGUGAAAAGUGAUAAUGAUAGUAAUGAAUGAGUAUCAGUUGUAGUGUACAGUAGUACUUACACUUCUAUGAUUAUGUUUACGUUCAUGUUUAUAGUAGUUGCAAUACUUCUAUUAUUCAGUUGAUUCAUUACUGCAGAAAUCAUGUUUACAUGUUGAAUACGUGCCUGUUACCGGUUAGCACUGCAUAUCUCUAUAUCAUGCACUUAUCGCUUUUACUUACUUUCUGUACAUCAUGAGCCUAGUGGUGUAAUUCGCCGAGGCUGGCGGCUUACCCACUGGGAACUAUUGUUAAUAGUUCUCACGCCCUUUUGGUGGUUGUUUUUACAGAGCAAUCUGCAGGAGAGGCUAGGGAUCGUGGCAAGGGAGUCGCGUCUAGCUAGACGUUGCUAGGAGCGUGCUAGUCGAUCACCUUGCUACUCGGGCUACGACCGAGGGUGAUGUCCCUUUGUAUAGAGAAACCCCCUUGUACCCAUCUUUUUUUGUAUACCCGUGAUGUAUAUUGUACUACUUGGACCGUGAGCUACAGUUGUGAUACUUCUCUUCUGACGAGAUUUUGGAUUGUAUACUCUUUGUUCUUUUAUUGGUAGUAUAUCGACUUGUACAUUGCUCUGAUAUCAGGAUAGGACUCUCUUUGUUUUACUUCCUAUCGACUUGCUUUCUUUGUAGACGCCUUAUAUACUGCAGGUGUAUGGCGGGUCUGUGCACGUACCGGGAUAUGCUUCCGCUGGUACCCGGGCGUGACAGAUUAUAGUGGUAUCAGAGCCUUGGGUUGAGUCUUAGUAGACCUAGCAAACCUUAGGCUGGUUGGACUAUAAGGAUGGGCUCGUGAGAGACGAUGUCUAGUCGAGGUUGUUGUUAGCGAAAGUACUUUGAUUGGGUACUUAUAAACUCCGAAUAGUAGGAGUUUGAUUGGGAUAUGCAAUUACUAACUUUGCAGAGGGUCACGUUGGCGGCCGACAACGUGACAUCGGAGGUUAGUAUGCGUUACAUCUCAUUACUUUCGCUUACUUAGCUGGUUUAUAUCCUCAAUGAGGGUUCAAUAGUAUAGGGUUUCUUGACCUAUGUUUGUUUUUGGUGCAGCAGCUUAAGAUGCCGUUGACUCGUUCGCAAGCCGCCGGGGCAGCGGAGGCGGCGGAUGCAGAGGAAGUGGGGACUUCCGUUACUUCGGGAUCUAGUGGGAUCCAUGAGUUACAGGAUCAGCUUGCGAUGCUGACGGAUCUAGUUACUCAGCAGGCUGCGGCAGCACGACAGCAGAUGGACGCUGUGCGUCGACAGGAGGACAGGAUGAAGAGGUUAGAGGAUCUGUUACUGCGACAGACGACUGACAGAGAGAUUCCAGACUCUGUACUUCUAGAUUCUGUACCUACAGCACCAGAGAGGGGUACGACUGCGAGAGCACCGUCACCGGUACCCGAUAUACCCCCAGUAGCCCCGAGGGUAGAGACCCGACAGGAGACAGUGGUACCACCACCAGUGCAUAUGGCAUUAUCAGGGACAGUGUUACCCGAGAUGGUGGGGGUUGUGGAGCGAGAGCGGAUGAUGGAACGACUGAAUGAAUUUCGUCGCUGCAAUCCUCGUGUCUUUGACGGGGAGAAAGCAGAUCAUUGGGUGGUUGAGAAAUGGUUAAUGCACAUGGAGAAGUUAUUCUAUGACACCUUUGUUGAGGAGCAGUAUCGAGUCUGGUUUGCGACACACCACCUUGAUGGUGAGGCUUACAGAUGGUGGGUGGACAUUCGUGAGGAUUCCCGUGCUGAUUUGUCUGCUAUCACGUGGAACAGAUUCAAGGAAUUGUUAUUGACUACUUACUUUCCUCAGAGUGUAAAGAGACAGAUGGAAAGGGAUCUGAGAAACCUGAGGCAGGGGGACAGGACAGUGGCAGAGUACGAGCGAGAGUUCUCCCGAUUACUGCACUGCGUUCCUUUUGUAGUUCGAGAUGAUGAGGACAAGGCUCGUAUCUUUGAGGUAGGUUUGCGGCCUGCGAUUUUCAGAUUGGUCCAGGCGUCAAACCUCUCCACUUACCGGGAUGUAGUGAACCGGGCCUUGAUCGUCGAGAAAGGGGCAGAGAUAAUGAAGAAAAGAGAUGUUGUGGAUCGAAGCAAAGGGAAGAGACCUGCAGUUGAGAGCAGUGGUCAGCAGUCCUUUAGGAGACCCCCAAAGUAUCCGAGGGGACAGUCAGGACAGUCGAGGGGUCGAGGUUCUUCGGCGCCCCGUGGAGCACCUGAGCGUCGUCGACCACCGCGUUGUAUUAUCUGUGGUGGGCCUCACGUACCACCACAGUGUCCACAGCGUGGGGGCAUGUGCUUUCUUUGCGGCCAGGAGGGCCACUUUCGUUCAGAGUGCCCGAGAGGUUCUUUGCUUGCACCCUCGUCAGCGACCGCACCUGCAUCUUCAGCUCCGAGCCAGGGGACCCCGACAGCACCCUAUCAGUCUAGGCGACCACCAGGACAGCGGCAGUCGGAGAGUUCGCAGCAGGGUUCGAGUGGGCGGAUGUAUGCCGCCCAGACCGAGGGCGCCGCAGCAGCACAGGAGGUCGUAGCAGGUAUCAUUAUGCUUUAUGAUAUUCGUGUUCGUGCAUUAUUUGAUACUGGUGCUUCGCAUUCUUUUAUUGAUCGGCAGUUCGCCGAGUUGCAUAGCAUUUCUUUAGCACCUACUUUGCAUCUGGGACGAGUGAUUGUACCUGACCAUACCCUAGAUGUUCGUGAGUUUUGCCCUCGCUGCCCAGUUAGGGUAGGCGACUGGAUUAUGCCAGUGGAUUUAUUGGCACUACACAAACUAGGUGAGUUUGAUGUAGUAUUGGGUAUGGAUUGGUUGACACGGUAUUAUGCCACCAUAGAUUGCACGUACAGAACGGUGACCUUUAGGGAACCGGGUCAACAAGAGUUUGUUUAUAAAGGGUGCCAGAGUUCAUUGUUCGCAAUGACUAUUAGUUCUUCGCGAGCACGACAGAUGAUACGGAGAGGAUGUGUAGCCUAUUUGGCUAGCAUUUCUGUGAGUGACGGAGAAGCCGUCAAGAUUGAUAAUAUCCCGGUUGUGCGAGAAUUUGGGGAUGUGUUUCCAGCUGAAUUACCGGGUAUGCCACCUGAUAGGGAGGUUGAGUUUGUAAUAGAUUUUGUCCCUGGGACUACCCCUAUUUCUAAAGCGCCCUAUAGGAUGGCACCCGCUGAAUUGAAAGAGCUGAAGGCACAGUUACAAGAUCUUUUAGAUAAAGGAUUUGUUCGACCGAGUGUUUCGCCCUGGGGAGCACCGGUGUUAUUUGUCAAGAAAAAGGAUGGAUCUCUUCGAUUGUGCGUGGAUUAUCGAGAAAUCAAUAAAGUCACAAUCAAGAAUAAAUAUCCAUUGCCCAGAAUUGAUGACUUAUUCGAUCAGCUGCAAGGAUCAAAAGUAUACUCCAAAAUCAAUUUGCAAUCAGGCUAUCAUCAGCUUAAGAUUAAGCCUGAAGAUGUUUCUAAAACUGCUUUUAGGACACGGUAUGGGCAUUAUGAAUUUACAGUCAUGCCGUUUGGAUUGACUAAUGCCCCAGCAGCCUUUAUGGAUUUAAUGAACCGUGUCUUUAAACCCUAUCUGGAUAGGUUUGUGGUCGUGUUCAUCGAUGAUAUCUUGAUAUAUUCUCGAAAUGACAAGGAGCAUGAAGACCAUUUGAGAGUGGUGAUACAAGUACUUCGAGAAAAGGAACUAUUUGCCAAGCUAAAGAAAUGCGUUGGCUUCAAGAAGUGGCAUUUCUGGGCCAUGUGAUUUCAGAAACUGGGAUAGCUGUGGAUCCCAAAAAGAUUGAAGCGAUUAAGGAUUGGCCUAGGCCGACCAGUGUCACUGAAAUUCGGAGUUUCCUUGGUUUGGCGGGAUACUACCGAAGAUUUGUAGAAGGAUUUGCGAAGAUGUCAACUCCUCUCACUCGACUCACACAUAAAGGAGCUAAAUUUCUGUGGAAUGAAGCUUGUGAAAGAAGCUUUCAGGAGUUGAAGGAACGGUUGACUACCGCCCCGAUUCUAGCUUUGCCUAUUACUGGAGUGGAUUAUGUGAUUUACAGCGAUGCAUCACUGAAUGGAUUAGGGUGUGUUCUAAUGCAGAAUGGCAGAGUAAUUGCUUAUGCUUCUCGCCAAUUAAAGGAUUAUGAAAAGAACUACCCUACACAUGAUCUUGAGUUAGCAGCUGUGGUAUUUGCUUUAAAGCUUUGGCGCCACUACCUCUACGGCGAGCGUUGCGAAGUUUAUACAGAUCAUAAAAGCUUAAAAUAUCUGUUUACACAGAAGGAAUUAAACUUGAGGCAACGUAGAUGGUUGGAGUUACUCAAGGAUUAUGAUUUGACCAUCCUCUAUCAUCCUGGAAAAGCUAAUGUCGUAGCAGAUGCUCUAAGUCGAAAAUCGACGGAAAAUUUGGCGAUGUCGAUAACAAUGCAACCACUGUUGGUAAAGGAAAUGGAACAAUUGAAUUUGGAAGUUGUAGCUCCUGAUACGCCUUGGAGACUUAUGUCACUAGUGGUGCAACCUACCCUGAUCGAGCGAAUUAGGGAAAAGCAAACUCAAGAUGAAUUCUUGCAAAAGAUUCGAGAUAAGAUCACUGGUGAUCAUGAUAGUGAUUUUCGAGAAGAUGAUCAGGGAUUAUUGAAAUUUGGUGAUAGGCUAUGUAUAUCGGCAGAUUCUGGUAUUAAAGAAGAGAUUUUAGCAGAAGCACAUCGGGCGCCGUAUACUGUACACCCUGGAAGUACGAAAAUGUAUAAGGAUUUGAAGUUAACCUACUGGUGGCCUAGAAUAAAAAAGGAAGUUGCAGACUACGUGGCCAAGUGCUUAACUUGUCAGCAGGUUAAAGCUGAGCAUCGACUUCCUGCGGGGAAACUUCAGAGCUUACCCAUACCAGUGUGGAAGUGGGAGAGGAUCACUAUGGAUUUCAUCGUUGGAUUACCUCGCUCACAAGCAGGUCACGAUGCAAUUUGGGUAAUUGUCGAUCGAUUGACUAAAUCUGCCCACUUUAUUCCAAUUCAUACUGUGUGGUCGGGGGAAAGACUCGCACAAGUGUAUCUUGAUGAAAUUGUGCGAUUACACGGAGUACUUGCUUCUAUUGUUUCAGAUCGAGACACCCGAUUCGUUUCACAUUUCUGGAAGAGCUUACAGGAGGCUAUGGGUACCCGACUGGAUUUUAGUACUGCUUUUCACCCCCAGAGUGAUGGGCAGUCUGAGCGUACCAUCCAGACUCUUGAGGAUAUGUUGCGGGCCUGUGUGAUUGACUACCAGGGCAGUUGGCCACAGUUCUUGCCUAUGGCUGAAUUUGCUUAUAACAAUAGUUAUCAAGCCAGUAUUCAGAUGGCACCGUUUGAAGCCCUUUAUCGUAGAAAGUGUAGAUCACCACUUCAUUGGAGUGAAGUGGGUGAGAGAUUGGUUUUGGGUCCAGACGUAUUACAAGAGGCUGAAGCUAAAGUUCGACUUGCGCGAGAACGUCUACUGACAGCCCAAAGUCGACAAAAGAGUUAUGCGGACAAACGUCGGCGAGAAUUGGAAUUUUCAGUUGGCGAUCAUGUAUUUCUGAAGGUUUCACCAACGAAAGGAGUUAAGAGAUUUGGUAUUCGAGGAAAGUUGAGUCCUCGAUUUAUUGGACCCUACGAAGUGUUGGAACGAGUAGGCCCCGUAGCUUAUCGGCUUGCCUUGCCGCCGAACCUAUCGGGAGUCCACGAUGUAUUUCAUGUAUGUACUCUACGGAAAUAUGUUUUUGAUCCAACUCAUAUAUUGGAGAGUAAUCCAGUGGAUUUACAUGAAGAUUUGAGCUUCGAGGAGCAUCCAGUGAAGAUACUAGCUCGAGGAGUAAAACGGCUUCGAAACCGCGAGAUCCCCUACGUAAAGAUCCUUUGGAACAAUCAUGAUGAACGGGAAGCUACUUGGGAAUUGGAGAGUGCAAUGUUAGAGCACUACCCCUACCUUACUCGAUAAAAUCUUGAGGUAAGUGUUUACAAGUUUCGCGGACGAAACUUCUUUUUAGGAGGGGUGAAUGUAAUACAUUGGACUUUCGCAAAUUGCAGAGUUCAAGUGGGUGGAAUGAAGUGUGGAAUUAUUCUACAUGUUCUAAUUGACUUGGACAAGUUUUUGAACAAGUUAGAGGAUGAUUGGAAUGCUAAAAGUGAGAAAGUGCAUUGAACUGGCGAAAAUCAGCCUUUUCUGCUUGCUGUACCGGUACAGACAUUACCUUGUACCGGUACAAGCUGGCAGAUUCGUGGCAGCAAGGUUAGUUUUGUAAUUUCACACUUGAUCCCUAUCUAUAUGACCCCUGCACGACCCCAGGAGCUCAGUGGGGUAUGCUGGAGCUCAGAGAAAGGUUCUCCCACCUUCCUCACUCUCUCUCUCUAGGGCUUUUCUCUCUCUACAAAGAAUUCGCCGAUUUCGCUCGUUUUCGUCGCAACGUUGGUUCUUCGCUGUUCGCAUGUGUCGCAGGGCCUACGUGGACGUGUGAGGGAGUAUUUUGGAGAGUUUUUCGCAGCUCUGAACCAGUGAGGUGCUGGUUGGAGGCUUGAGAAGGUAUGUGACUCGAGUUUUCCGUUAUCGACGUUCUAUUAGUCGAUUUGAGUAUUGCUUUUGAGUUUCUGCUUCUAGCUGUAUUCUUCUGAGAUUUCAGCAACUAAAGUUGGAUUAAUUAGCUGUGAAUUAAGCUCCUUAGACUAGGGAUAAGCUUCUUUGAAGGUUAAUUGAGAGGAUUAGCCAUUUAUGAAGCUAAAUCGGAACUAAAUGCAAUUAUUGGAGCGAUUGAUGUAAUUGGGGAUUACUUCUUCGCAGCAGGUCUUCGAGCUUUGUGGAGCUGAACUUGUAUUCUUUGAAGCUGGUUUAGAAGGUACUCUAACCUAAGGUAAGUAAGAAUUUCAGUUAGGAAGAUGAAAUUGCAAGAUUCCGACCACAAUUGCUAUUAUAUGAUGAGUUUGAUGCCGUUUCGAUUUUGUUCGCAGCGUGAGUGCGAUCGAGCCUUGGAUCAUCGUUAGUUGACUUGAGAGAGCUCUUGGAGACUUAUCUUGAGGUAUUACACUAGUCCCAAAACAGGGAUUUAAGGGGUUACUUUGUACUAAGUGUAAUUUAGGCCGAAAUCGGAUAUUCCGGUCGUUAUUUUGACGCGGUGUUAAUGUUUGUUUUCAGCAAGAUUGGAGCCGACUUUUUACGACUUCUUGUGAUUAUUGGGAGCAUAGUACUAGGUGGGUUUGACCUAACCAGAGCAAGUGAAGCUCCCCUAUGUUCUAUAUGUAUUAUAGACGUGGUUUAAUUAAAUGCCUAUGUGAUUGUUAAAGGGCUCGGAAUUCGUCAUCAUGACGUUUAUCAUAUGUGAAAUGAGCGUUCAUGCAUAAAAGUACUGAUGCAUUAAAGUAUUCUUAUUUAGCUCAGUAGAACAACCAGGAGAUCAAUUUAUUAUGUUUGUAUGAUAUAGAAAACAUAUAUACAUGAAAGUAUUUCUAUUCAUAUUCAAUACAGCUGAAUGGCUUAUGAACAAGUGUAGGAUGCACUUUAAAGUAGAGAACAAUGACAUUCUCCUGACUCUAACGUAGAGAACUAUGACAUGCUCAUGACUAUGUUGAUAGUGCCAUACUAGUGGAAAGAUUAUAAUGCUAUGUGAUUUAGCUUUACCCUUAAAUGUUUACAAUCUAGUGGAUACUAGCUUUUGUUACUAUUUGUGUAUUGACAUUCCGAUCAGAGGAUCGAGGGUAAGAACUUUGCAACUGAAAAUAUGAAAAUUGAGACAUGUGGAUAAUGGACUUUGCUUGCUUGCCAUCGUGCUCAUUCGCACACGCUUGUGAGGGUAGCUCCCUACAAGCCGGCACUCCGGAGUUGGCCUACGCGACAGUUGCUCGCCNNNNNNNNNNNNNNNNNNNNNNNNNAUAGAAUGAAUAACAACUAGUAAUAUCAGAGCGAGUAAAGUUCUAUCAUCUAAACCAGAGUAAAAAGAAACAUAACUAAACCAUAAAAGAAAAUAUAAGAAGUACAAUAUCAGUGUCUAGUACAAAAAUGGUGGUCUCUAGUACACGGGUAAACUCUCAACCUCUCACAAAAUGAAACGUCGAGAGGUAGACCACCUAUCGAAUCGUCCUCGAAGGAAGCUAGCUCGAAGCAACUCCCUUCCCGCGGUCCCUAGCCUCUCCCGGCGUGGAAGGCUCUGAAAGAAGACAUAAAACAGAGGGCGUGAGAACUAUAAUUUAUAGUUCCCAGUGGGCAAUUACUGCCCUCAGUUCAAUGCACCACUAGGCCCCAAAAGGAAAGGGUAAGUCGGAAGCAAUGGUAAUAACGAGUAAUUUGCAUUUAUGAAAGUAUAAUGAAAAAGCUAAACUAUUACUUAAAAUUAAACAUGGCAUUUAUGUAAUGCACAAUUAUCUUGUCAUGAAGGAUACGUCUCUACUUAGCCAUAAAUAAUGUCAUGGUUUGCUUAAUAAAAUUAUGAGAAUUAUCCUUUAUCAUAGCAACAUUGUUUAUAUGAAUGCAAAUAAGCAAUGUCUCCUAGCAUACUACAUGUUUGUAUGUAUAUCCAAAGUCCAAAUCUAUGCUAGAAGCAAGUCUGAGUAAUCUAACUACUACUCUCUAUUUAGUAGUGAUUAUAAUAAACUCAUCCCGUGUCGAUUUCCAUUUCCAAUUAAGGACCUACCAAAGGUAGUCCAGCUUGUGCCGCCUAAGUGCCUGUGGUAGCCCGACAUCCCUACUCUCGAAAUGUGUCUAUCCCACUCGACCCCGUAGGCUACUCAAUACCGCACGAGCGAACAUAAGUCGCGUAGGCUAACUCCGGAGUGCCGGCUUGUAGGGAGCGACCCUCACAAGUAUGUGCGAAUGAGCACAAAUGGCAAACAAGUAAGGUCAAAGUCUCAAGUACUCUACUCUCAUGCCUCUCACAUGGCAAGGUCACUAGCACCCCAAGGAUCUAGUCCAAAGUCUCAAAGUGAUGCUCCAACGCACACACUUGCUUAGUGCCUCUUUACGACACUUAAGCAUCACAACUAAUCAUGCCCAAUUCAUGUUCCACAUUCCAAUUAAAACAAUACUAGCAAGGUUCACUUUAGCCCGGGCCCAAUGCCUCCUUAUGACAUUGGCCCAAUCUCUCAAAUAGUCUAGGUCCUCAAGCCUCUUUAGGCUUCCAAAAAUCCCUAAUGUCACAAUUGGCAAAUAAGCUAAAUGCAUGAAAGCAAGGUUCAUUUUCAUAAUAGGGAUCUUAGUUUCAAAUCUCAACCAGAAUGCUACAUCACACAUGCAUGCUCUCUACUACAUAGAGGCCCAAAAUUUUACUAUAUGCUACAUAGGCAUUUUAAGCAUUCUAAAAUUCACAAUAAAUACAUAUAACAAGAAUAUGCAUGCUUUUUCAUUUUAUAAUACUUAAAUCAUCAACAAUGAGAUUUUCUCAUUGUGUGGCUAGGUCAAACCCACCGAACCGUCGCGUGCUCCUUUGAUUCGCCGAACGGAGUUGUCCACGAGCCUCAAAAUACCCUAAAAGUAUUGAGCGAAGAGAUACACGGGCAUUACGAUCAACUAUAGGAUCAAACAUUAACCUAGAAGCAAAAGGGCCAAAACUCACCUCAAGAGUAGAAAUCCUCUCCAAAGCUCCAAAGGAGAGCUAGAAUCCUUGUAAUCCAAGCCCAAGGAAGGUUCCAAUCCAAAAAAUCUAGCCCCAAAAGCCCUAGAUCAAAAAGCCCCAAAAUCAACCCUAAAACCUCAUUCUAGGGUACCAACACAAGAAAACCUCAAAUCCAAAGUCUAGAUGGAGAGAAAGGGCUACCAACCUCUAAGAAGCUUCAAUCCAAGCUCAAAGGGUGAAGAUCUUCUCUCUUGCAAGCUCCAAGUCCAAGCUCCAAGCACCAAGGAAGAAGAGAGGGUGAGGAAGAUGCUCCAAGUCCACUAGUUGCUCUCAAUCAUCAUCUUCUUCCUUCCUUCUUCUCCUUCUCCUUCUUCUUCUUCUUCUUCUCUAUCAAGGGUGUAGAGAGGGUUAAGAGGAGAGAAAUGAGGAGAAGAGAGAGUGGAUGGGUCAUAUAGACCCUCUAUUGCAACAAAAUCUAGCUAGGUCCCUCAAAAAUCGAAUAUUACAACAGCCCAGUCUGGGCAGUUUUCGCCCAGAGGGACCGGUCUCUCCCUGCAAGGGACCGGUCUCUCGCUGCGAACCCGAAAAACCAACGUUCGGGAAUCGGUCUCUCCCCGCGCGGGACCGGUCUUUCACUGCGAGAACGCGCUCGGGGAUCGGUCUCGCCUGCAAGGGACCAGUUGCCUCAGGGCUGCCGCAACACUUCUCACUGGGGGACCGGUCUCUCUUUUCAGGGACCGGUCCUUGAGAGUAAAAAUUCUCAAGACUCGUCCAGAACUCAGGUUUUCGAACUUCUUAGGUCGGAAAACAUUCUACAACCCUCCACCAAGUGUGGGAAAGCUUGAAACACAUCCAAUCACUCGAACCUCGCAAUUUGCAAAGGUCCAGUGCGUCACACUGUCCCCUUGGGACCGGUUCCCGAGAGCUGCAUUUCCAAGACUUAGCCAAAUCUUCAGCUCCCAGACUCCACACGCGCUCGGGGACCGGUCUCCCCGACCCGGGACCGGUCCCUGAGAGCUGAAAACCUGCAGCUUUGCAAAUUUUCAAUUCCAACGCUCUCAAAGACCUCUCCGAGGCACUUUUACUCGUUUUGACGUCCUCGGCCCCUCCAAAGCAUACCCAUUUCACACUUUGGUCACUUUGACUAAAGUUCGAUAUUUCGACCACCGAGUUUCGAUAUAUUACACCUACAAUUUUUUUGGAGUCUCUUAAUUCGCUCCCCCUGGUGCAUAGCAGCCUCCUGCUGCCGCUGCACCACAUCAGCUUGUUGCCUCACCACACCACAAGUGUGGCCAACUGUUCGCGAAGUUCCAAGUCUCAGCUCGCCUCGGAUUGCUCAGGGACAUCACUUGUCCCACCCCGCGUCGAUCUAAACGAAGAUCGCCUACGCGGUGCCAUCGUUACCUAGAACAUGACAACUCAACUAACUCUCAACCUUCUAGGUCGAGUAUGAAACAACCGACAUCAACUCAAAUCGGGCGAAAGUCAUACAAGGGCAUCUAUUCUCAUCACUCGGUUUCAUGUUGUACGCGUCCAACAUGAACACCCUCGGUUGAGAAUAGACCACACCUUGGAUCUACCUCUAAUAUCCUUUUUAGAGGUUUACAACACAACCCAAUCCCUUAACCUUUCGCCAAAAGUCACAAGUCCUCGUCUCUCACGAGCCUUAAUCUCCUAUGGUUUACUAUCCUAGGGUUUCCUAGGUUCAUCUAAACCACUUUCCUAUUCUCUACUUUAUGCUCUGAUACCAUAUUAUCUGUCACGCCCCUAGCCCGCCUCUUUGGUCGGAUUCGGGCACGCCAACAGACCGCCGAACGGACAGGGUUUCCCCUGCACACGGACAGAGUCUCCCCUAUACGUUCAAGGCGUCGCAAUCAAUACAAGUACAAGAGGUUCCAAACAGGAACAAUUUUCAACAACGAUUGCAUAAGGAAGGUAUCAAACAACAUAACACAUCCUAUGUUAUUACAAUCAUUCAUCUCAUCAUUUUACAUCGCAUUUUUCAUUACAUUGAUCCUCAACUUCCAAAUAUACAAUCGAUUUCUAAACAUAAUAUUACAACAUCGAUUCUUUUCUUUUCUUUUCUUAUACCUCUACGAAGCCGACUCAGGGUGCUGCUAUUUGGUCUCAGUGGUAGGGCGCUAACUACGGAGCUACGUCCUUUCCUCGCGCCGCCUCGCCGCUCGCGUGUGAACCUGUACCCCCAAAAACAACAACACGGGGGUGAGACUAUUGUCCAUAGUCCUCAGUGGGUACAGCCACCCAAAGGAAGAGCUCAACCCACCAGGUCCAAAGGAGGCACUGCAACAUGUUAGUCCAACAGAUAUAUAUACAUAUAACAUCAUGCAAUACAUUUCUUCAGAAAUAUGCAAAUUAUGCAACUUAGUCAUUCUUAACAGCAUAGCUUUCUUAGAAUAUGCAAUCUUAUUCAUUAGCCAUUCUUUAUUCUUUAUCUUUAUUCGUUUACUUCUUUAUUCUUUAGUUAUUCUUUUUUCUUUAUCCUUUACUAAGGGCACUCGUGCCUUAGGCUCAUUCAUACACAUUUGCAUUCUUUUAUAACAUUAAACAGUCUUUCUCAUUAUCACUCUCUUCCUAAGGUUGCAUAUCUUAGGACUAUGCACUAUUUGUUUGACUCGCGGUCUUGGUCACUAUUCAUAAUGAUAUCAGCUCACACUUUCCAAUUCAUGAUCUUUUUGGCUAAACUAUCCGUAGUAGCCAAUUAACCUUGCCUUCAAGCAUUUAGUCCAUCAUCGGCAGGAACUCCAACCCGCUAGGACGCUUGGUUACUUCAUCGGCGUAGAUGCAAAACUCGGACGCAAUCGUCGAGGGGAGCGCUCGCCCUCGGCACGAACUCAUAGCUAAGUAUUGAUCAAUCCUUACUCUAAGGAUAUGUGAGUAUGAUCAUUGUUUUACACUAACUCUAGGUAUUCUUACAUCACCAUUAUGCUAAAGCUAGCAUCAUUAUUCUUUAUAUCCGACAAUUAACAAAUUACUUUAGUAUUAUCAUUCUUUGGAUACCACACUUGUUCUUGUUAUGCACAUCAUCUAACUCUAGUGUUCUUUAUGUCAGCAUUGUUGCUACUCUAGCCAAUUUCUCGCUGUGUUCUUUCACUUGCUUGUUCUUUAUGGCCAGCUUACUAUUACAUAUGUCUUUACCAUUAUCCAUUAUUCUUUACACUGUUGCUUAUUCUUGUAUGCACAUUACCUUACAUUGUCUCUACAUUACUCAUUAUCUCUUUCACUUUGCUAUUAUUCUUUAUGCACUUACCUUCACAAUUGCCCCUAGCCAUUACAUUGUUCUUUACAACAAUUUAUUUUGCUUUGAUGUCUCGCACAGCUAACUCUAGUGUCUCACUUUACAUUUCCAAAUAGCCACUCUGAUCUAUGUUAUUAGCGGAUAUUACUUGUCAUCGCAUUGGUAGUCAUCACUUAGCAUUUAUGCAUGAGUACACUAACAUUUACCACAUUGCGAUUCUCGUUAGCUAUAAAUCUCAUAACUUACGUUUUGACAUAUUUAGCAUUUCUAUAAUAUACUCAUGUAAAAUAUACAUCAACCUCAUACAUUCUUACAAUUGCUCUAUCUUAUCAUGCAUUCUUUAAAUAGUAGACCUUUAAUCUUUAUCAAUCAUUCUAUAGAUACACAUACUUUAAUCUUUAAACAGUGCAGUUCGUUGAAAUGCGAGCAUACUAUAAUUUUUAUCAUGGCAGUGUUCUUAAAUAGCAAUACUUUAUCAAUGCCAUCAAUAGUAAACAUACUAUUUAGCAAUGGAAAGCGAUCCGUACAUCGCUUCGGUGAGACCAGACCCACUCAAAACGCUUAUCGCGAUUGCUUGCGACACUGCAUCAGCUCGCGCUCCGAAAACUCCGGUUUGGGCCCGAUCUUUGCACGCCGACGACCCGAACAGCCUCCGAUCCAUAUCCGAAAAUUAAAAGGUCUUCGGUUAUGUCACGAGGUGCGUUCAAAUGCCAUUCCACGAUUUGACGCGUCGCCUCGGCCCUCUAGGUCGGUAAGAAGUCUAAACGUCCGUUUCUUUAAUAAAUUGUAACGGUCGUCGGAUUGCGCGAACCGUCUUUGCCAACAGCGUUCGUUUUAUCAUAGGCAAUUUGGUUAUACGGAGGGUCAAUAAUUUGAUCAUAACCCUCAUACUUUUCAAAAUUAGGCAUUUGUGAGGCCCUACGUCAUGACAUAUAAUCUCCAGAAUAAUCCAAUUAAAUGGAACAACAUCUAUCAAUAGCUCAUCAGUAGAGGCUAUCUAGCUGCACUUAAAGGCUAAGGGAUUAAACCAAAUCCGAAAAGCUUAACUAAUGUGAACGCCGGCAAAACGAAACACAGAACCGCUCCAACGGCGCACGAAAGCUCGAUCUCGCCCUCCAACGCGUUCGUAGACUCGAUCUCCACCAACCCUCCAAUUUUUAAAGAGAGAUAUAGAGAGAUGAGAGAGAUAUUUAGAGAGAGAAAGGGGAGUUUCUCUUCCCCAUCCAUGUGUGCGUGUGUGUGGGUGUGUCGGCCAUGGUGGUCGGCUGAUGGAGGAGAAGAAGCUAAUUAGCUUCUUUAAUUAAUUACACCCCGACACUAUUCACUCCAGGCAAUUUAAAAUCUGAUAUCUUUCGCCGGAGCUCCCAGAGUAUCCGUUUGAACUCAAAUUUGACAGUCAUAUUCGGUUUAACGUACUGAAAAAGAAUAUACUUUAAGUUUUUAGUUUCGACCCCGUUUGGUCAUCGAAAACUGUACCGAACUGUAAUCUUUAUCAGAUAGCUUUCGGGUUUUAUUUCUCAACUUUCGGGUGUCAGAAUAAUAUGAAACUUUAAAUCUAGCCUCAUAAAAAUAUUUCUGACUUAUCCUCCAAUUUUCAUAAUUUUCUAAAACUGUGCAUUUUUUUGCUAAUUUAUCUGUCUCGUUUCCAACAGAAAAUUCUAAAUUUUCUGUUUUCAUUCCGAUUUCAGCACAAACCAAUUCCGACUUAUGUUUUACUUCUCUAAAUCCAAUAAAAAUAGUAUCCCACACUAUUUUUAUUUAUUUUUAUUUUUUUUACUAAAAUCUGGUAUAUUACACUGUGUCACCGUAUGCGG